AGAGUUUGAUCAUGGCUCAGGAUGAACGCUGGCGGCGUGCUUAACACAUGCAAGUCGAACGGACAUAAAGGGGCUUGCUCCUUUAUGUUAGUGGCGGACGGGUGAGUAACGCGUGAGCAACCUGCCCAUAUCAGGGGAAUAACACAGUGAAAAUUGUGCUAAUACCGCAUAAGACCACGAAGCGGCAUCGCUUCGCGGUAAAAGAUUUAUCGGAUAUGGAUGGGCUCGCGUCCCAUUAGAUAGUUGGCGGGGUAACGGCCCACCAAGGCGACGAUCAGUAGCCGACCUGAGAGGGUGAUCGGCCACAUUGGGACUGAGACACGGCCCAAACUCCUACGGGAGGCAGCAGUGGGGAAUAUUGCACAAUGGGCGAAAGCCUGAUGCAGCAACGCCGCGUGAGUGAAGAAGUAUUUCGGUAUGUAAAGCUCUAUCAGCAGGGAAGAGAAUGACGGUACCUGACUAAGAAGCCCCGG
rnacentral:rRNA from 1 species